rnacentral:rRNA from 1 species
AUUGAACGCUGGCGACAUGCCUUACACAUGCAUGUCGAACGGCAGCACGGGAGCAAUCCUGGUGGCGAGUGGCGAACGGGUGAGUAAAGUAUCGGAACGUGCCCAGUCGUGGGGGAUAACGUAGCGAAAGUUACGCUAAUACCGCAUACGAUCUAUGGAUGAAAGCGGGGGAUCGCAAGACCUCGCGCGAUUGGAGCGGCCGAUAUCAGAUUAGGUAGUUGGUGGGGUAAAGGCUCACCAAGCCGACGAUCUGUAGCUGGUCUGAGAGGACGACCAGCCACACUGGGACUGAGACACGGCCCAGACGCCUACGGGAGGCAGCAGUGGGGAAUUUUGGACAAUGGGCGAAAGCCUGAUCCAGCCAUGCCGCGUGCAGGAUGAAGGCCUUCGGGUUGUAAACUGCUUUUGUACGGAACGAAAAGGUUUGGCCUAAUAAGCUGAGCUCAUGACGGUACCGUAAGAAUAAGCACCGGCUAACUACGUGCCAGCCGCCGCAGUAA